rnacentral:rRNA from 1 species
GUGGGUAGUGAGUAUGUGAGUGUGAGUUAAUUUUUAAAAGUUAUUUUAGUUUGGAUUGUAUUUUGUAAUUUGAGUGUAUGAAGUUGGAAUUGUUAGUAAUUGUGGAUUAGUAUGUUGUGGUGAAUAUGUUUUUGGGUUUUGUAUAUAUUGUUUGUUAUAUCAUGGGAAUUGGUUUUGUUUGAAG